rnacentral:rRNA from 1 species
GGGUUAGUAGAUUGGUCGUGCCAUUGGUACGUACUGGUCUCACUGAUUCCUCCUUCCUGAUGAACCGUAAUGCCAUUAAUUUGGUGUUGCGGGGAAACUGGACUGUUACUUUGAAAAAAUUAGAGUGUUUAAAGCAGGCUAACGCUUGAAUACAUUAGCAUGGAAUAAUGAAAUAGGACGUUCGAUCCUAUUUUGUUGGUUUCUAGGAUUGACGUAAUGAUUAAUAGGGA